rnacentral:rRNA from 1 species
GAGUGGCGAACGGGCGAGGAAUGCGUUUCUAACGUGCCCCAAGGUCGAGGAUAGCUCGGGGAAACCCGGGGUAAUACUCGAUGACCCCCAUGGAUCGCAUGGUUCGUGGGGCAAAGGCUUGCUGCCUUGGGAUCGGGAAACGCCCUAUCAGGUUGUUGGUGAGGUAACGGCUCACCAAGCCUAAGACGGGUAGCGGGUGUGAGAGCAUGACCCGCCGCAUCGGGACUGAGACACUGCCCGGACUCCUACGGGAGGCUGCAGCAACGGAUAUUGGGCAAUGAGCGAAAGCUUGACCCAGCAAUGCCGCGUGCAGGAGGAAGCCCCUCGGGGUGUAAACUGCUGUCAGGGUUUAGGAAGUUCUGACCAAACCCAAAGGAAGGGCCGGCUAACUUCGUGCCAGCAGCCGCGGUAAUACGAAGGGCCCAAGCGUUAAUCGGAAUCACUGGGCUUAAAGGGUGCGCAGGCGGAAUGGUCAGUGUCUUGUGAAAUCCCACGGCUCAACCGUGGAACUGCAGGGCAUACUGCCAUUCUUGAGGCCGGUAGAGGCCGCCGGAACUCUAGGUGUAGCGGUGAAAUGCGUAGAUAUCUAGAGGAACGCCAAAGACGAAGGUAGGCGGCUGGGCCGGUUCUGACGCUCAGGCACGAAAGCGUGGGGGAGCAAACAGGAUUAGAUACCCUGGUAGUCCACGCCGUAAACGUUGUGCACUAGGUGCUGGAGGUUCUGACACCAUCAGCGCCGAAGCGAAAGUGAUUAGUGCACCGCCUGGGGAGUACGGUCGCAAGGCUAAAACUCAAAGGAAUUGACGGGGGCUCACACAAGCGGUGGAGCAUGUGGCUUAAUUCGAGGCAACGCGAAGAACCUUAUCCUGGGCUUGACAUGCAUGGAUUAACGCUGGGAAACCAGCGCCACACUCUUUGAGUGGAACAUGCACAGGUGCUGCAUGGCUGUCGUCAGCUCGUGCUGUGAAGUGUUGGGUUAAGUCCCUUAACGAGCGAAACCCCUGUCGCUAGUUACCAUCAGGUAAUGCUGGGGACUCUAGCGAGACUGCCGGUGUCAAACCGGAGGAAGGCGGGGAUGACGUCAAGUCCUCAUGGCCUUUAUGCCCAGGGCUGCACACGUGCUACAAUGGCGCCGACAGAGCGAAGCAAAACCGCGAGGUAGAGCAAAUCGCAAAAAAGGUGCCCCAGUUCGGAUUGCAGUCUGCAACUCGACUGCAUGAAGCCGGAAUCGCUAGUAAUCGCGUAUCAGCAACGACGCGGUGAAUACGUUCCUGAGCCUUGUACACACCGCCCGUCAAGUCAUGGAAGCCGGGAGUACCCGAAG